rnacentral:rRNA from 1 species
AAAAGGCCUUACCUACCCUUGACAUGUACGGAAUUCUGCUGAGAGGUGGAAGUGCCCGAAAGGGAGCCGUAACACAGGUGCUGCAUGGCUGUCGUCAGCUCGUGUCGUGAGAUGUUGGGUUAAGUCCCGCAACGAGCGCAACCCUUGUCCCUAGUUGCUACGCAAGAGCACUCCAGGGAGACUGCCGGUGACAAACCGGAGGAAGGUGGGGAUGACGUCAAGUCCUCAUGGCCCUUAUGGGUAGGGCUUCACACGUCAUACAAUGGUCGGAACAGAGGGUUGCCAAGCCGCGAGGUGGAGCCAAUCCCAGAAAACCGAUCGUAGUCCGGAUCGCAGUCUGCAACUCGACUGCGUGAAGCUGGAAUCGCUAGUAAUCGCGGAUCAGCAUGCC